GAUGAACGCUGGCGGCGUGCCUAAUACAUGCAAGUCGAGCGAACGGACGAGAAGCUUGCUUCUCUGAUGUUAGCGGCGGACGGGUGAGUAACACGUGGAUAACCUACCUAUAAGACUGGGAUAACUUCGGGAAACCGGAGCUAAUACCGGAUAAUAUUUUGAACCGCAUGGUUCAAAAGUGAAAGACGGUCUUGCUGUCACUUAUAGAUGGAUCCGCGCUGCAUUAGCUAGUUGGUAAGGUAACGGCUUACCAAGGCAACGAUGCAUAGCCGACCUGAGAGGUGGAUCGGCCACACUGGAACUGAGACACGGUCCAGACUCCUACGGGAGGCAGCAGUAGGGAAUCUUCGGCAAUGGGCGAAAGCCUGACGGAGCAACGCCGCGUGAGUGAUGAAGGUCUUCGGAUCGUAAAACUCUGUUAUUAGGGAAGAACAUAUGUGUAAGUAACUGUGCACAUCUUGACGGUACCUAAUCAGAAAGCCACGGCUAACUACGUG
rnacentral:rRNA from 1 species